rnacentral:rRNA from 1 species
AACGAACGCUGGCGGCAGGCUUAACACAUGCAAGUCGAACGCAUCCUUCGGGGUGAGUGGCAGACGGGUGAGUAACGCGUGGGAACGUGCCCUUCAGUUCGGGAUAACCCAGGGAAACUUGGGCUAAUACCGGAUACGUGCGAGAGCAGAAAGAUUUAUCGCUGAAGGAUCGGCCCGCGUCUGAUUAGCUAGUUGGUGGGGUAAUGGCCCACCAAGGCGACGAUCAGUAGCUGGUCUGAGAGGAUGAUCAGCCACAUUGGGACUGAGACACGGCCCAAACUCCUACGGGAGGCAGCAGUGGGGAAUAUUGGACAAUGGGCGCAAGCCUGAUCCAGCCAUGCCGCGUGAGUGAUGAAGGCCUUAGGGUUGUAAAGCUCUUUCGUCCGGGACGAUAAUGACGGUAUCCGGAGAAGAAGCCCCGGCUAACUUCGUGCCAGCAGCCGCCGUAAAAC